rnacentral:lncRNA from 1 species
GGACAGACGGACGAACGAACAGACGAACGAACGAACGAACGAACAGACGGACGAACGGACGCACAGACCAGAAAACAUAAUGCCCCUCUACUAUCGUAGGUGGGGCAUAAAAACUAAAUUUGAGGUACUUUUUAGAAAUUCCCUAUCAUAAUGACUAUGUAUGUAAAGUUACAAAUGGAUGCAACUAUAACUUCAUCAUAAACUACCUCGACCAAAAACU